AAAUUGAAGAGUUUGAUCAUGGCUCAGAUUGAACGCUGGCGGCAGGCCUAACACAUGCAAGUCGAACGGUAACAGGAAGCAGCUUGCUGCUUCGCUGACGAGUGGCGGACGGGUGAGUAAUGUCUGGGAAACUGCCUGAUGGAGGGGGAUAACUACUGGAAACGGUGGCUAAUACCGCAUAACGUCGCAAGACCAAAGAGGGGGACCUUCGGGCCUCUUGCCAUCAGAUGUGCCCAGAUGGGAUUAGCUUGUUGGUGAGGUAACGGCUCACCAAGGCGACGAUCCCUAGCUGGUCUGAGAGGAUGACCAGCCACACUGGAACUGAGACACGGUCCAGACUCCUACGGGAGGCAGCAGUGGGGAAUAUUGCACAAUGGGCGCAAGCCUGAUGCAGCCAUGCCGCGUGUAUGAAGAAGGCCUUCGGGUUGUAAAGUACUUUCAGCGGGGAGGAAGGUGUUGUGGUUAAUAACCGCAGCAAUUGACGUUACCCGCAGAAGAAGCACCGGCUAACUCCGUGCCAGCAGCCGCGGUAAUACGGAGGGUGCAAGCGUUAAUCGGAAUUACUGGGCGUAAAGCGCACGCAGGCGGUCUGUCAAGUCGGAUGUGAAAUCCCCGGGCUCAACCUGGGAACUGCAUUCGAAACUGGCAGGCUUGAGUCUUGUAGAGGGGGGUAGAAUUCCAGGUGUAGCGGUGAAAUGCGUAGAGAUCUGGAGGAAUACCGGUGGCGAAGGCGGCCCCCUGGACAAAGACUGACGCUCAGGUGCGAAAGCGUGGGGAGCAAACAGGAUUAGAUACCCU
rnacentral:rRNA from 1 species